rnacentral:rRNA from 1 species
AUUGAACGCUGGCGGCAGGCCUAACACAUGCAAGUCGAGCGAGCGGCGGACGGGUGAGUAAUGUAUGGGGAUCUGCCCGAUAGAGGGGGAUAACUACUGGAAACGUUGGCUAAUACUGCUUACUAUCGGCUGAGCCCAUAGUGUAUUAGUGAGUAGGUGGGGUAAAGGCUCACCUAGGCGACGAUCUCUAGCUGGUCUGAGAGGAUGAUCAGCCACACUGGGACUGAGACACGGCCCAGACUCCUACGGGAGGCAGCAGUGGGGAAUAUUGCACAAUGGGCGCAAGCCUGAUGCAGCCAUGCCGCGUGUAUGAAGAAGGCCUUAGGGUUGUAAAGUACUGUCAGCGGGGAGGCGUUACCCACAGAAGAAGCAACGGCUAACUCCGUGCCAGCAGCCGCGGUAAUAC